CACGUAGGGGGCAAGCGUUGUCCGGAUUUAUUGGGCGUAAAGAGCUCGUAGGCGGUUCGGUAAGUCGGGUGUGAAACCUCCAGGCUCAACCUGGAGACGCCACCCGAUACUGCUGUGACUAGAGUCCGGUAGGGGAGCGUGGAAUUCCUGGUGUAGCGGUGAAAUGCGCAGAUAUCAGGAGGAACACCAGCGGCGAAGGCGGCGCUCUGGGCCGGAACUGACGCUGAGGAGCGAAAGCGUGG
rnacentral:rRNA from 1 species